rnacentral:pre_miRNA from 1 species
AAUCUAGGAGGCAGGUGCUCACUUGUCCUCCUCCAUGCUUGAAAAUACAGGGAGGAGGCCAUAGUGGCAACUGUCACCAUGAUU